CCCGCACCUCCGCCCCACAGGAGGCCGGCGGCUAGCGCGGCUCCUCCUUGGCGGCUCGGGUUUCCUAGCCUGUGCGGCACAUCCCGUGCUACCUGUUGGGACGCAGAGAACCCCAGCCCUGGGGCCGGCUGAGCCUCGGGGCCGGGCCGGGCCUGGACGGGUGUCAGUGAGGGCUGCGGGCGGGCGGGCAGGAGUGAGGCCCGCAGGCCAGGACGCUGCAGCCACCCCAGCAGGAUAGCCGAGAGCUCUCCGCCCUCGCUCCUCACCCACCCAGCACAGCCGGCUUCCUUCCCUGGCUGGUGCCACCUGGAAACAGGCUGGGCUUCUGGCGGAACUGUGGGUUACCUAGACUGUGAGGAGCAGCGCCUGGCCCUCCCCGCCUGCCAGACACCGGGCCUGGGAAGAGGCCCCGCAGCCCGCAGAGCCACCGAGGGAUGAGGACACCGCAGCCCACUGGACCCGCCACUCUGCACUCGAGGCCAGAGCCUGGCAGAGCCUGAGGGCCCCGGGUCCCCCUGGCGCACAGGGCUCAACUGGUGACCUGCCCGCCGUCCCCUGCAUGGAGCGCCUGCAGAAGCAACCACUCACCUCCCCCGGGAGCGUCAGCUCCUCCCGAGACUCCAGUGUGCCUGGCUCUCCCUCCAGCAUCGUGGCCAAGAUGGACAAUCAGGUGCUGGGCUACAAGGAUCUGGCCGCCAUCCCCAAGGACAAGGCCAUCCUGGACAUCGAGAGGCCAGACCUUAUGAUCUAUGAGCCCCACUUUACUUAUUCUCUUCUGGAGCAUGUGGAGCUGCCCAGAAGCCGGGAGCGCUCUCUGUCACCCAAAUCCACAUCCCCACCACCAUCCCCAGAGGUGUGGGCAGAGAGCAGGUCCCCUGGAACCUUUUCCCAGGCUGCAACCCCACGAACCACUGGCACCCCCCGGACCAGCCUGCCCCAUUUCCACCAUCCUGAGACCACCCGUCCUGAUUCCAACAUUUACAAGAAGCCACCCAUCUACAAGCAGAGAGAGUCCAUGGGAGGCAGCCCUCAGAGCAAGCACCUCAUUGAGGACCUCAUCAUCGAGUCAUCCAAGUUCCCUGCAGCCCAGCCCCCGGACCCAAACCAGCCAGCCAAGAUUGAAACUGACUACUGGCCAUGCCCCCCAUCGCUGGCUGUUGUGGAGACUGAAUGGAGGAAGCGAAAAGCAUCUCGAAAGGGGGCAGAGGAAAAAGAGGAGGAGGAAGAUGAUGACUCCGGGGAGGAGAUGAAGGCCUUCAGGGAGCGCCAGAGAGAGGAACUCAGCAAGGUAACUUCCAACUUGGGAAAGAUGAUCUUGAAAGAAGAGAUGGAAAAGUCAUUGCCUAUCCGGAGGAAGACCCGCUCCCUGCCUGACCGGACACCCUUCCAUACCUCCUUGCACACAGGGACAUCUAAGUCUUCUUCUCUCCCCGCCUAUGGCAGGACCACCCUGAGCCGGCUUCAGUCCACAGACUUCAGUCCAUCAUCAGGGAGUGAGGCUGGAAGCCCAGGCCUACAGGUGAGUGCCACCUGGAGGGGAGCGCUCUGAGUUUGGAAAGGCCAGACUGGCAACGAGCAGUGUCGGGGGAGGGGGGCUAGGGGCCUCGGAGUUUCCUGGUGAGGACACAGAAACCCAGGGUAAGGCUGGGGAGGCCUCCCUGUCCCACUCUGGCUCACUGCGGCUUUGGUCUCCCCAGAACGGAGAGGGCCAAAGGGGGAGGAUGGACCGGGGGAACUCCCUGCCCUGUGUGCUGGAGCAGAAGAUCUACCCGUAUGAAAUGCUGGUAGUGACCAACAAGGGGAGGACCAAGCUGCCACCUGGUGUGGAUCGAAUGAGGCUGGAGAGGCACCUGUCGGCUGAGGACUUCUCCAGGGUGUUCGCCAUGUCACCUGAAGAAUUUGGCAAGCUGGCUCUGUGGAAGCGGAACGAGCUCAAGAAGAAGGCCUCGCUCUUCUGACCGCCCCCUUUGCUUUAGGGCUCUGCAGUGGGGUUCUGUACCCCAGCACUCUGGGCCCUGAAGCAUCAUCACCUGGCCGGGGCAACGGGGAGGUGGGGCAGAAGUGGAACCACUUGCAGUGCAGGGGGUGUGCGAAUUAUGGGUGUCCUUCCCCGUGAGCUGUGGCACCUUCACAGCCCACCCUGGACUCUGCCAUACACAGUCCUGUUUGUAUUCCCUCCCUAUCCUCACCCCCAGGUGAAUGCCCCUGGAAGAAAGAGAAUGGGAAGUGAACAUGGCCAGGCCUGGUGAUAGUUUUUUACCCACAUGUGGUGGGUAAAAUCCUGGGCCUGGACGCAGAAGGGUGAGGGUGGGGCCAUCAGGCUGGCAGAGAGCCUUCCAGAGCCUGAGGGUGGGGGGGAGACUCUCCUCCCCACCUCCAAUUAGACAGUGCCCCUGCUGCAUGGGGCCUGGGGGACGCCCUGCCUGCCUGCUUGCUUGCCCUGUCCCCUCCCUGCCACCCUCAAGCUACCAGAGCCUCUUGCUCCAGCCCUGUGGCUCCCCAGAAACCUUCCUUGCCUCAGAGUGGAGAUGUCACCCACACAAACCCCACCCUGUCACCAGCCUCCAGGCAAAGCCAGCUAGAGUCCUGCCUUCUAGCACCUGCCCAAGACCUAGGAAGAGCCUGCACCUUUGAGGCCCCUUGGCAGGGGUCCAGAUACCAGGCCCACACCCAUGCAUCCCAUCACACUCUCUAAAGAAUGUAAUUUAUUGGGGCAUCCCCCAGCUACUUUCCUCACCCUCUCUGCCCUCCCUUAAUCACACUCUCAGCUUUUCUUCUCAACAGACACAUAUAUGUAUAUAAUUAUAUCUAUCUAUCUAUCUAU